CUGCCUGGUAGUGGGGGAUAACGUCCGGAAACGGGCGCUAAUACCGCAUACGUCCUGAGGGAGAAAGUGGGGGAUCUUCGGACCUCACGCUAUCAGAUGAGCCUAGGUCGGAUUAGCUAGUUGGUGGGGUAAAGGCCUACCAAGGCGACGAUCCGUAACUGGUCUGAGAGGAUGAUCAGUCACACUGGAACUGAGACACGGUCCAGACUCCUACGGGAGGCAGCAGUGGGGAAUAUUGGACAAUGGGCGAAAGCCUGAUCCAGCCAUGCCGCGUGUGUGAAGAAGGUCUUCGGAUUGUAAAGCACUUUAAGUUGGGAGGAAGGGCAGUAAGUUAAUACCUUGCUGUUUUGACGUUACCAACAGAAUAAGCACCGGCUAACUUCGUGCCAGCAGCCGCGGUAAUACGAAGGGUGCAAGCGUUAAUCGGAAUUACUGGGCGUAAAGCGCGCGUAGGUGGUUCAGCAAGUUGGAUGUGAAAUCCCCGGGCUCAACCUGGGAACUGCAUCCAAAACUACUGAGCUAGAGUACGGUAGAGGGUGGUGGAAUUUCCUGUGUAGCGGUGAAAUGCGUAGAUAUAGGAAGGAACAC
rnacentral:rRNA from 1 species